UUCAAAAUUUUUGGUUCUGAUUUGCUGCAGAAAUUGUCAAACAUUUCAAAAUUAAAAAAAAAUUGGGGCAUCAACCUGACAAUUCCGCAACUCCGCAGUGAAACCAAAAUGGAUAGUAAAGUGCUUUAAAGUGCUCCUAUUCCUAUUUAAAGCGUUCAAAGUCGAUGUAAUCUGUAACGCUCUGAAAUACACCACUAAUAUUUCAAACCAUGUUUUUUUUUCAAAUCUCUCGUAAAUAUUGUAACGAUUCUACGUGAGUCAUUUAUGACAUUAAUCCAUUUCAGAAACUCCAAUAGUUGCAGUUUACAGAACCUCUAUAUCUAUAUUUAGUGCAGAUACAUCGAUACGUGAACCAAUCGCAUAUCGCAAUUUAUUAAUUUUUUUAGUUUACCGGCUUUCGACAGUUCUUGUAAAGAUUAGGCCCGAAAUUAAUUUCCGGCUUCCUGCAGUCAGUAGAAUUCAGCCUUCUCUCCUAAACACAACAAGUUGAGUUCACAUAUAUUGGACAGUUGUCUCUUGAGAGCAUUUCUACAUUUCGCGAGUAUUUGAAUAGGGAAAUCGGUUUUAGCCUCGAAUUAAGGCCGCCUGUUAAGACGAGGCCUUGUGUGACGCCUUACUUCAGAGGCAGUCUGCAGGCAACAAAUGAAUCGAGAAUAGCCGACAGUCUUGCGGUGUAGUCAGACAGAACGUUCGCGUUUGUUUUACGUCCGUACCGACUUUGGUACGUUUGAGGAUAAGUGUACAUUUCGCCGCUUAGGGCGCCCUGAAGUCACGGUAAUCAAAAUAGCGCGAAGUCGUGUCCUUGUAUGUUCUCUAGACAGAAAUACGUAUUUAUGUAUCUAGACACAGUUCGUCGGACCGAGGAGCAAGAGCUUGAGCUAGAGGUGAAAUACGUAGACACUUGAUUAAGUGAAUAACGAGUAUUUACAUACCUGGCACAAUGAUCUUUGCAUAUCUGCCAGAAGCGCUAGAGAGCACGCGGAUACUUGGGAAAAAGAGGACACGGUUAGUAUAUUCCCGCGUAGAAAUAAUAUUCGCUUAAAGUGAUAUAUUCGCAACCGGGCUCCGUGACCUUAAAAAAAGAUUACUUUCACAGUCUAAAGAGAUUCCAGGCGUGUCUUACGAUAGCAUUUGCACAAUGUCUAUCGACAUCCUGUGGUCUUUCUAUUUUACAAAUUCCGUGUACAAUAUACUGUGGAGGUUGCAUAAUAGCCAGUUGAAUGUGCACGUACAACAGUAUGGUAUGGUAUGGUAAAACUCUAUCACGGAGUGACGUCCGCUUAUGUACAGCCGCCCUCAGAAUAUUUCGGAACACUGCAAAUGAGAAUAAGUUAAAUUUUCUCGCUACUUCACCACAGAGUGUGAAAUGUAUGUCAGGAAUGCGAUGAUAAUACGGAGAAGUAUCAACUUUACCUUUUGGUUGAAGGACCUGUGCCUAGGCUGUGAUGAAAUUUACAUUUUACUCGCAUCUCGUGUUCCGAAAAAUUUGGAGGGGAGGGUGUACGUACAUUUUGUGCACAUUUUACAGGUAACGCGCAGGUUUAUUAGGGAGCAAAGUCUACCUCAAGUCUAUAGACAAGACCACGUAUAUGCAAACGUGGCUAUUGAAAAAAGUUUGUUACACAAAGAAAAUGAAGAGCACUUCUAAGCACAGCGGAGGUAUAAUUCCAUUAACAGCCUUAUGUGCUCUGUACUGUUUACAUGGUCAGGCAAAUGGUGCAUCUAUGCAUUGCGGUGUAAGAGGUCUAAUUUCUAUCACAAAAAGGGCGCGCAGGGGCGAGAAUUUAGAAAUAUGAGAAUGUAAUGCAGGUCCUUAAGCUGCGCUAACAGCAGCGACAAUGAUGAGACCAUGGUAUAAUGACAAAAUGAUUGAGCAACCCGCACAAAUGACGCUGUGACACCGAGUCGCUCGCAUGCGCCUUGGAUAGGCAAACAAUUAAACGUCACGUGUACAAAUUACGCGUAAAGGUUUUUUUUUCGUUCUUUUUUCACAGAUGCUAGACUAUUCUAUUACACUUUUCAAAAGCAGUCUUAGCUCACAUAAUUAAUUGAAGAGGCGGUAAUCUAACGAGGGAAAGCGCGAUAAAGUUGUAAGUUCUUUAGCACCACAUUGCUUACUUAGAACCAAAGCAACUCUGCUUGCUAAGGAAGCUCGGAUUCGAUAGGGAAAACUGACCAGUAUUUUUUUACGCGCCCUAAGCUAGACUCUUACAAAUGUCUCUAUAAAGGUUCUGUUGUCCUUGUGGUGAGUUGUGUUGCCUUUCGUAGACUUUCUGUUGAGAUGCAACACAAUAUCACGCAGAGAUUUUCUGCCAUGGCAGGGCCGCCUGCAUCGCAGUCGGGUCAUAAGGAAUAAGGAAUCGUACAUUUGUAUUGGCGUGAUGGCUGCUGACUAUUUUGCCUAUCUAUACACAGAUGGUUAAAAAAAAUUAGUCGAUGUUCUGAUUGUUCCGCCUCGUCGUGAGCAACGAACUUGAAUGAAUAAACUUGUAGGAGAGGGUCGCGAAAAAAAAUUUAUUUACUGUAGUUGAUUCGAAAGAACAGAUCAUGUUCGAAGAGGUGAUGUAAAGAAAUAUCACUUGGUCCACAAUAUGGUGAUAAUUCGCGCCCCCAUCGUUCAAGUACAGUCUUUGAUAAUAGCACUUACGAAGCGUAUUCGUAUCGGGACCACAAUAUUAUAAACAUUCGAAAUCCACAGCUGACGCAUCAUCGAAAUACAUCACUGAGAAUCAAUCACACCACAAUUUUAGAUAGCCACAAACCCGACAACAUUGAGCCAUUAUUAUAGAAGCUCGUAUCAAUCAUCGCGAUGAAUAUCUUUUUUGAACCGCAACUCCUGACAUGAAGGUAUCGUUCAGCCUCGAGAGAAAUUGGCAAGGCAAUCUGGAGCCAAUUUUGAGCCGACCUCAAUAGCCCGUUCAAGCGCUUGGUUUCACUGAGGCGUUUUCAGAUAGAGCCAGCACGUUCUAUUUCCGGCCGACAAAAUGUCCCCGCCGUUCAUCUUUGAAGAAGCAGCGCCGGAAUAACAAACACAGAAAACUAAGAAAAAGAAAAAGGACUACAUCCGAGCACAACGCUUAAUCGGGGUGACUGUGUCUUUUCAGUGUUUGUAUUUCUUUGUGCGCUGCUUCUUGAGCGAUGAAGCGUGUCCUAUGGGUCCCUGCCCAUGCGACUCACAGUCCUGGACCCACUGACCCAUCCUGUCCUGCACCUACCCACCUUCUCCUCCUUUAUCGCAUGCUUCUGUUUUCCAGCUCCCUUGCUUCUGCGUCAGACGCGCAGGAACUGAACCCAACCUAGGGGGCGCUGUCGCCUUCGAUGGUUGAGGGCGAGGAGGAGUCGCUCCGUGACGCUUGAUCUUACCGUUCAUUGCUCUUAACUUGUUUUUUUUUUUUAUCUUCUGUUCCCUCAAGUUCUUGUUUGUUUUCCGUGCGCGUGGUGCUCGCGAUCUCCUCGGAUUAUCCCUUCCGCGCGGUCGGAUUAUCGGUGCACCGUGUUUAUCGCGGAGGAUUAUUGAUGGCUGUGCUGGUUCCCGCAAUCGACGACCGCCGUGCCGGGUCUUCCUCACCUGAAGCCUCGACGUUGUUGGACGGCGGCAGCCGCAGAGACGCCCGAGACAGGUCGCCGGCAAGCAGCUCCACCUGGUCAGGCAGCGCUCCGAACGGUGGACACGGUGAAUGCAGGGAGAAUCAAAGAACCUUUCCUCCCCCUUUCUGCUCCCUAUUGACCGGCCCAUGCAUGAAAAUAAGGGCACUAUACCACAUGCUUAUUCGUUUAAAAGAGAUAUUCAAUUACGUCUGAAAGUACUAUUUAUCGGAAGCAACUCACAGUCAAAAGAAACACAACAAGAUUUUUAUUACUUUUCUGAGCGAUGAAUCAAUCGUGCGUCGAUUAUCAUGUAGUUCAAGAUAUAGGGAAGAUAAAGAACAACGAGAAGGUAAGCAGGGUUGGUAAACAAUACGCUUCAGUAAUACUAAAAAGGGCAGUCUUAAAAAUAAGCAAAAAUGGAAUCAGAAGUGGGGACGCCGCCUUGAGGUUCACGCACUACUAGUUCCCCCAUGACAUAACCGGUUUUGACAGCUUCUGCUCGAGGCUAUUGGUUAUCGAUAAACAAGAAUUGCGUUGCGAUUUAAAGCAACCCGAGACUCAGCCUGGCAGCUACGUUCUGAGAAUUUUCUCAGCGCGAAAACAGCGCUGACAAGCGUGACACUACCUUUAAAUUGUUAGUCAUUUAUCUAACGACAGGUCGGCUGAAAACAGGAAGAACCGCCUGCACUUACAACAUCUUAUCGCCAAAGAAAGAAACAAGAAAGACCGACGGAAACGUACUAAAUUAGGGUUGGUUCCUCCAUUGUAACAUUGAAACAUGUAACAUUGAAACAGCGUACCGUUGUAGAAAAUGGAGAUCACGCCAUGCAGUCAUAGGUACUGCGAACGUACGUGCUGGGCCGAAGGCAUGAAUCCACCAGGAGGCCCGGACAUAGGCCUGAGUUCAUUUGAGAAUAGCAAUGGUAUUUUUCUCUUUCGGUAUUCACGGUAUGCUGCUUCGUGAGUAAGAAUACUUGUGUCCAUGUUUGCGGCGCAAAAGGUUAGCGAAAGAAAUCAGAAAAAGAAAGAAAAGGCGAUAUUUCUGUCCGUUUCUUCUGUCUUCCAUUAAGCAUGUGUUCCACAUACAUUGACAGCGAUGCACAAUAGUCUAACAUCGUACUUUGCUACGAAUAAUUCGUCCUACUACUCACCGGCUACUCACUUGCUCGUAGUAACCGACGCCCAUGCGCUCGUCUAUCGCGAUCAGAAAAAAGAAAGCCAACUCUUUAGGCACAUCCCUAAAAACUUUCCGAUGAGUUAGUGUUGCAUUUUUAUUGAAUUUCAAUUCAUUUUCUUUAACUUCGAUAUAACUUUUGCCAAAGCAAGGCAGCUUGACGCCUCGGCUCUAGCUACGGCAGAGCUUCACGGUUCAACCUACCCUUUUCCUUCCCAUCCACUCCUUCCCCGGUCACCUGACCACCAAUUCCCUUCGUCGCGUCUGGCAUCCAGCGCUGCCUCGUCUGGCCACACUGAUUGAUAUGCUAUCAGUCGGCACCUUCGACCGGACAGUCCACGCUGCCUUUGGACUCCUUGAACGAUGGCUUCUGACGAGAGCUGCUACCAGGCCGACCUGUCUCUAGCUCCAGAUCAUCGCAGGCGCCGGCUUCGAUCACUGCUUCGCCCGCCCCCCGCUAAACGACCGGUGUUUUGACCGAGCCAUGUCGCCAACGCUGGGCAGUGCAUGCUCCCUGACUAUACUAUUAGCGCACCACAGCGUCUGUCGUCAUUCCACGGACGUUCUCUACGUAGUAGGGCUACCGCGUCACGCCUCAGAAACUAGUCCACCGACUUUUUUUGUUUAUUGAAAGGAAAUUACCAAAAGAAACAACCACCGCAGAGUGGUGACGGCUAGUUCUUUCCGUUGGAGGAUACAAAGAAUACGAUCAGGUGACCAUUUAAAAAAACAGAAACAAAUAGAAAUAGAAACGCAUGCACCGUCCGCAUGAUAAGUCAUGUAAGCCGGCUUGAUAUAGACGCGCAUAAUGCGUACAAGAUAAUUCGCAUUGACUGGCUUGAUGGCAUCACGCCAAAUGCUUCGUGUCCGCAGAACGUAAUAUAAAUAAUAUCGUUAAUCCAGUGCCCCAGUUGAUUCUGCUUCGUCGCACUUACCAGCAUGAGAAAAGGAAAACGUUCAUUCAAAAGAAAGCCUAUAUAGGAGUAAGUUAACCCGAAGCAUUAUAAUCUGGUCCACUACCUCGCCAAUUUUAUGCACAUAGCUACUGGUAUACUUGGCGAAUGCAGUAAGGCGCUUAAAAGCGCAGUGUAUGCAGUGAUGUCCUUCGCCAUUUUGUUUCCUAAGCAACUCUCCGGCCGACUGCGUAAAGUUUUUUUUUUCAUUUGCAAACACUUCAUCAACGACUGGCUACGUUCGCCUCUACAUUCGCAAUACCGAUUAGUCGGUGCCCGCUAAUACGAACCACUCAGCGAGCUAAAUACUUUGGGAACCCUUGCACAAGUCAUGCGUGAUAGUCAAUUGUAUCUCAACAAAAACGUAAACUAAAGGCAACAAGUAUUCAAUGGAAACACAUCAAAAUUUUUAUAACAACUUCUGUAAGGCUAAUUUCCUUCACCAUUGCAUAACGGCAGCGCAAAUAAUUUUCUUUUCUUUAGAGUGUGCCUUAUUUUGCACCUGCGUAAGUAUUGCCCAGCCUCGUAACACAGUGUAACAAGGACGCCGUUGUUUACCGAUAUCAGGGCCGACACCACCUACAAAAAGGAAGAAACGGUCAAUACCACUCGCGUUGUUUUCGUCUUUACUUCCCGCCAGGUUUCAACAUUCGCGAUUGCGACAGGUGGAAGUGCCCGUUGCCAUGGUGCGACGGUGUUAAUGUUUUGCUCACCUUUCGCGGCUUGCGAAAUCCGGCGCAUACGAGUGCUGCCGACAGCCCUUGGCAGCCACAGAAAUCGCGGCUGAGGUGGAUUUUAUAACACAGCACGGUACAAACCACGGAAAACUUUUAAGCAAAUAACUAUUUUUUUACACUGAAAUAAAGCCCAAUUAUCCGAGCGCUGAUUUGAAAUGCUGUACUUUUCUACCUUAACUAAUUUCUGUAUCGAUCGAGCGUCCCACAAAAGUUAGAACUAAAAUUCAGUAGCUUUUCUUUUUCUAAAGGCUUCAUUUUGUUUAUUUAAGUCUGUAGCAAGUCCACAGGAACUCUUUAGAAUGUGAACUAUGAUUUUUGUCUGCGCCCUUAGCAGUGCGAGCGGUACAGAACAUGGCUGCUUCUGGCGUAGGCAGUACCACCAAAUCAUGGUAUUCAUGAUUGGAUUCCACAAAUCGCUGGCGGAUGUGGCGUUGACACCAAGAGGAGCACAUACGAAAAGCAAGCUCGCAUUUUCUUUUUGGCAAACCUGGCUAGUACUCGGGCCAAGUGUUACUGAACAAUCCGGGCUAUAAAAUCCGCUCUUGCCACACAAUUUGCGCAAGAACGGAGCACUGAUAAACGCAAUAUCUUUUUAAAGCUCUUUAUAAAGGAAAAAAAUUGGAGGACGCUUAAGCUUCGCCUUUAAGAGUAGAACACGAUAGCGUUAUCGGGACCCGUUCGCGUCGCAACGUUCGCAUACGGCAAGUAGGCUUCAUUCACUGCAACACUGAACGUGGCAAAGCCAGCUUACAAAGACCAAGCUUACACCGAUCCCCUUAAAGUCGACUUCACUUUUAAACUGGAAUGCAUUGCUGGAAAGACGUUUUUCCAUGGGUCUUUUAUUAAAAUUUGAAGGCCCUAGCACCUUUUUUUAUUUUUUUAUUAAUUGUUUGCUAGUGCCCCGACGCGCGCAGGUCUGGUAGAAACGCUGGAAAAGGGGUUUGUGUUCGAGUUUUCUCGUAGCAGAAUUAGGUUUUCUCGUACAUCGUAAAGUCGUACUUUACCAUUUUUCUGACGGAUUUCACUGCGAGAAAUUCAAUUUUUGUUCACCAAAACCUUGCACCACGUGGAGGGCCUGCGCGGUCGAUGUGGUUGGAUGAUUUUCUCCGCCACCCUCGAUCACACGCCGGUUGCCGACGCCGGAUUUUCUGCGACACGGGGCCCUAAACGCUAUCGCCAUAAAACAUUUAUGCAGCUUCAACGCAUGUGCUUGAAUCUACUUGAAGCGAACCUUUAGUGAAACCGUAAAUUAUAACCAUACGGCGAUGGUACAAUUUUGCUUAGUUCAUUACUAUGCUACGUGUAAUGUAAGCUCAUGCGUUGUAUUUGACCAUCAAUCACGGAGGCCACAACUUCAUUUUCAUUCGUUUUUUUUAUGUUUGUGCAUUGCAUCAUUCGCCAGCUUCGCCAAAAUGCAAAUCAGGCUAUUGCAAAGUGUGAAACGCACACGCAGUGACGUCACAUAGACGACUGCGAUCUAUGAUACUUGUUGAAGGAAUAAUGAUGAUGACAGAUGUUAUGGGCAUAAAAGUACGCCGCGUGUAUCAAGUAACAUUGAGGAAUUCGGAACUCCUUGCGUCACAGUCGUACGUGCCCUUUCUGGUGGAUACACAUUCUGGGGAAUUCGCCAAGACGAGGCACUCACGUUAAGGCACUUAUCUCUAAAUCAAAGAAAAUAAAGUGAGAAAAUUUUUGACAUAUAAUUUAAUAUUUCAUUAGCAGGUCAGUAUGCUUAGAGAUAACUGCGAGCUGACAUUAUACAAACUUUUCUGGAGCAUUUUUUUUUGUAUGCAGAACAAGAGAUGCUCCCCCUUGCACUACUUUGUCGGUCAGCAUACAAGGGUUAUAUAAUACGUCUGUUAACUUGUACUUUCAUUCGGCGCACUUAUAAACUUGGUAUAUAUAUCCACAAUUACAUCCGUCGAGAUGCUGACCAACCCGUCAGCCAGCAGCCACACCAAGCCUGAGAGAGUAAGGGAAGAAAUCUUCGCUUUAAAAAAUUCAUCGACGGUUACAAUACUCCCUCAUGCAAAUUUUGAGCGCAGCCGUUUAGUUGUUUUGAAUUCGCGAUAUAUUGUGGCAAAGACUGAAUCUUAACGACAGGAUCCUCUCGGCGGUGGCUCGGCUCGGGCAGCUCGUUCAGCUGCAGCGGCAGGCGAAGCAUUUCCACCUGUUGCGUUGCCUAUUGUUCAGAAAGAAAGCGGGAACACGGUAACGCGUGGCUCGCGCGGAGCGCAUUGUCUAGCGGCGGCAGCACAGGCGAAGUAGCGCAUGCGCAGUGGGUCCAAAGCCCACGCCGGCGCUUUGUUGCCAUAUAUGGUAUUGGUUGACGCGCUCGCCGCUUGUCGGGUCGCGGCCGUGGAGUACGUCUGGUGCGGCACUCCGCUUUCCUCCUCACCUUUUCGCCAUGCUCUCCUCCUCUUUGCUCCUCACGUUCUCUUUGCUAUCGCCGUCUUUCAUCCCCCGCUGCGCUCCGCGUUCGCUCUUUGAUCUUUCGCUGUGCUCGUUCGCUCAGUUACGCCGAGGGACGCCGACGUUGAACGAAGGAGCGGGCGCCUAAGGGCUGUGCUGUAAAAUGCAAGUUGCUGCAUGCUCUAGCAUCUUGCUCGCUCAUUUUUGAGCGGCUACGCGUGUGUAUGGGAGUGUGUGUGUCUGCGCGUGUGUGUACCUAGGCGCAUGGACACACACGCGCAGACACAUACACUUACACUAUGCUCUAGCAUCAUGCUGGUACAUGGUUGAGCGGCUGUGCGUGUGUAUGGGAGUGUGUGUGUGUGAGUGUCCAAGGCGCCUACGUAAACUUCCUUGACUUCACCGCUUCCGUC